CAAGGAAUGUUAGUAGGACUUCAUCGGAAAAGUCAUCUUGGAUAGGAAUGUUAACUCUUCCCUUUUCAAUCCUUCUAAGAUGGUCAACUACUAAAUUGCGUGCCCCACUUCUGUCUUGAAUAAGAGACAACUUGUUCUUAUCGUCCUUGACCAUUGUGAUUCCACCUUUUUUCGGAACCACAUGUAUAGGGUCCGCCCAAAUGCUGUCAGAAUUGUGGUCUAUAAUACCUGUUUGUAGCAGCUUGGUGUCCCUUUUCUUUACAACCCCCAUCAGUUGAGAAUUCAGUCUUCCUUGAGGUUGUCUCAUUGGUUUAGCAUCACUUGAUAA
rnacentral:lncRNA from 1 species